UACGGAGGGUGCGAGCGUUGUCCGGAAUCACUGGGCGUAAAGGGCGCGUAGGCGGCUCGGUAAGUAGGGGGUGAAAUCCUGCGGCUUAACCGCAGGGCUGCCUUCUAAACUGUCGAGCUUGAGCACGGUAGAGGCAGAUGGAAUUCCCGGUGUAGCGGUGGAAUGCGUAGAGAUCGGGAAGAACAUCAGUGGCGAAGGCGGUCUGCUGGGCCGUUGCUGACGCUGAUGCGCGAAAGCGUGGGGAGCGAUCCGG
rnacentral:rRNA from 1 species